rnacentral:rRNA from 1 species
CCAAUAGCGUAUAUUAAAGUUGUUGCAGUUAAAAAGCUCGUAGUUGAAUUUCGGGAUCAAUUAGUCGGUCGUGCCUCUGGUACGUACUGGUUUUAUUGGUUCCUCCCUUCUGACGAAACAUGAUGUCAUUAAUUUGGUGUCGUGGAGAAUCAGGACUGUUACCUUGAAAAAAUUAGAGUGUUUAUAGCAGGCUAACGCUUGAAUACAUUAGCAUGGAAUAAUGAAAUAGGACGUUCGACCCUAUUUUGUUGGUUUCUAGGAUCGACGUAAUGAUUAAUAGGGAGAGUUGGGGGCAGUAGUAUUCAAUUGUCAGAGGUGAAAUUCUUGGAUUUAUUGAAGACUAACUACUGCGAAAGCAUUUGCCAAGGAUGUUUUCAUUAAUCAAGAACGAAAGUUAGGGGAUCGAAGACGAUCAGAUACCGUCGUAGUCUUAACCAUAAACUAUGCCGACUAGGGAUCGGAUGAUGUUAAUUUUUUAAUGACUCAUUCGGCGCCUUACG